AGUCGGUUAGCCUAGCAAACAAGCAGCUACAGAAAAGCUAAUGCGGUGACAGGAAAUGGCGUAGAUGACUUAUCCAACGAUUUCUAACGCCUACGCUGUUCUGGGUCAGUUCCUGUUGCUUAAGAAAGACAGAGAUGUUCAGAGUGGCUCAAAGACACUGAAUCCUGGCUCAGUGUCUGAAGCAGAUGGUGUGACCCCUUCCUCUGAGACCCCCAGUGACCCUUCAGGCUCUGGCAGGUCCAGCUGUGACAUCACAGCCACCUGACUGCUGCCUGUUUACGGGGAAAGUUAAAAUACAAAUCUGUCUCAGCGCUGUUUAGGACACUGACUCCAAGACCUUUGAAACUUUUUUAGUGUUGCCUAUGUCAUUUACCCUCACCUCAUCCUGAGGACUGAACGUGAUCUGAGUCGACCCUCCACCCAAAUCCAGCAUC